ensembl:snRNA U6 U6 spliceosomal RNA
GCGCUCACUUUGGCAGCACAUGGACUGAAACUGGGAAUGACACGGAGAUUCGCGUGGCCCACUGCAAGGAUGACACAGAAAUUCAUGAAGCAAUUCCAUAUUUUU